rnacentral:rRNA from 1 species
CGCGUAGGCGGCUAUUUAAGUCAGGGUGAAAUCCCGGGGCUCAACCCCGGAACUGCCCUUGAAACUGGAUGGCUAGAAUCCUGGAGAGGCGAGUGGAAUUCCGAGUGUAGAGGUGAAAUUCGUAGAUAUUCGGAAGAACACCAGUGGCGAAGGCGACUCGCUGGACAGGUAUUGACGCUGAGGUGCGAAAGCGUGGGGAGCAAACA